CAAGAAAGGUUUGGGCCAUAAUGGUAGCUGCUUCGGGGUGACGGUGCUGAAAAGGGUUCUGAGGCCCUAGAACUCACCCACCGAUCAGUGCCACCGGAAGGCAUGGCUGGGAAGGAAUUCACAAACAGCACGGCUGAGCAAAGAGUGACAGUAUGAUGGGCCCCAGCAGCAGCCGCAUGAAAGGAAACAGGACUCCAAAUGUGGACCCCUGCACCGCGGGAAUAAAGGCCCUGAGGGCAGGGGGGCAGGCGCUGUGAGCAUCUGGAGUCAUCGGAUACCCACUAAGUCAUCAGUAUCUGCAAGUUACCUCGGCCUCUCGGCUAAGAUCAAGUGUAGGAAACGUUCUCUUAAUUUUCUGUGAAACCGAACGUCGGGUUUGACCACCACGAACUGCGUGUCCACUCUGUGAAAGGAGGCUGCAAUUUGAAAGAAAGGCUCUAAUCCCCGGAAUCUUCUAGUAUGAAAACACUGGCAGCUAUCCGGUGCCUUUACCUAGGAAAUGGCUGGGGAAUGGGCCGUGUCCCCAGAAGGGGGAACUUCUGGCCCCAGAGAAGCCUCAAAGUGAGACGCUUAGCCAAGGUCCCCUCACUCCAGAAAAUUCUGUCCCUAUAAUGAACAGCAUAGCAUUUUGUGUGCAUAGCCACUUACUGUAUUUCAUAUAAAGGCUUGAUCUUCAGUGAUACCCACA